rnacentral:sRNA from 12 species
UGCGUUAGGGCAAGGGGCAGCGCCAGAACUGCCAAAGUGAGCGGCGCGUCAUAGAAGCGUAAGUUCGUUUUGCGUUCGCCAGUAUCAGGCAGGCAUACAAGCGAAACCGACCGCGUAAAAAGGGUGUAUGCCAUCGGCAGGCAAGUAAGCCAUUCCCAAGUGUGCUGCCGGGGUCUAGCGAUGCAGCGCGUUCUGGUAAACAACUCUGGGGAAAACCGCUCGUGAACGAACCACGGGCGGCUUUUC